rnacentral:sRNA from 1 species
UGCAUCUUUGUCCUUUCAACUGUAGGAUUUAGACAAGAGUCAAGAGGAGAUCAAAAAACAUCAUGCCAGCAUCAGUGAGCUGAAAAAGAACUUCAUGGAGUCUGUACCAGAACCACGGCCUAGUGAAUGGGAUAAACGCUUAUCCACUCACUCGCCCUUCCGAACUCUUAACAUCAAUGGGCAAAUCCCCACAGGAGAAGGACCUCCCCUGGUGAAGACACAAACUGUCACCAUCUCAGAUAAUGCCAAUGCUGUGAAAAGUGAAAUCCCAACCAAAGACGUCCCUAUUGUCCACACUGAGACCAAGACCAUCACUUAUGAGGCUGCCCAGACUGACGACAACAAUGGAGACUU